rnacentral:rRNA from 1 species
CGGUUAAGUUAGAAAGGGCGCACGGUGGAUGCCUUGGCACUAGGAGCCGAUGAAGGACGGGACGAACACCGAUAUGCUUCGGGGAGCUGUAAGCAAGCUUUGAUCCGGAGAUUUCCGAAUGGGGAAACCCACCACUCGUAAUGGAGUGGUAUCCAUAUCUGAAUACAUAGGAUAUGAGAAGGCAGACCCGGGGAACUGAAACAUCUAAGUACCCGGAGGAAGAGAAAGCAAAUGCGAUUCCCUGAGUAGCGGCGAGCGAAACGGGACCAGCCCAAACCAAGAGGCUUGCCUCUUGGGGUUGUAGGACACUCUGUACGGAGUUACAAAGGAACGAGGUAGAUGAAGAGGUCUGGAAAGGCCCGCCAUAGAAGGUAACAGCCCUGUAGUCAAAACUUCGUUCUCUCCUGAGUGGAUCCUGAGUACGGCGGAACACGUGAAAUUCCGUCGGAAUCCGGGAGGACCAUCUCCCAAGGCUAAAUACUCCCUAGUGACCGAUAGUGAACCAGUACCGUGAGGGAAAGGUGAAAAGCACCCCGGAAGGGGAGUGAAAGAGAUCCUGAAACCGUGUGCCUACAAGUAGUCAGAGCCCGUUAACGGGUGAUGGCGUGCCUUUUGUAGAAUGAACCGGCGAGUUACGAUCCCGUGCAAGGUUAAGCAGAAGAUGCGGAGCCGCAGCGAAAGCGAGUCUGAAUAGGGCGAAUUGAGUACGUGGUCGUAGACCCGAAACCAGGUGAUCUACCCAUGUCCAGGGUGAAGUUCAGGUAACACUGAAUGGAGGCCCGAACCCACGCACGUUGAAAAGUGCGGGGAUGAGGUGUGGGUAGGGGUGAAAUGCCAAUCGAACCUGGAGAUAGCUGGUUCUCUCCGAAAUAGCUUUAGGGCUAGCCUCAAGGUAAGAGUCUCGGAGGUAGAGCACUGAUUGGACUAGGGGCCCCUACCGGGUUACCGAAUUCAGUCAAACUCCGAAUGCCGAUGACUUAUCCUUGGGAGUCAGACUGCGAGUGAUAAGAUCCGUAGUCGAAAGGGAAACAGCCCAGACCGCCAGCUAAGGUCCCAAAGUAUACGUUAAGUGGAAAAGGAUGUGGAGUUGCUUAGACAACCAGGAUGUUGGCUUAGAAGCAGCCACCAUUUAAAGAGUGCGUAAUAGCUCACUGGUCGAGUGACUCUGCGCCGAAAAUGUACCGGGGCUAAACGUAUCACCGAAGCUGCGGACUGUUCUUCGAACAGUGGUAGGAGAGCGUUCUAAGGGCUGUGAAGCAAGACCGGAAGGACUUGUGGAGCGCUUAGAAGUGAGAAUGCCGGUAUGAGUAGCGAAAGAGGGGUGAGAAUCCCCUCCACCGAAUGCCUAAGGUUUCCUGAGGAAGGCUCGUCCGCUCAGGGUUAGUCGGGACCUAAGCCGAGGCCGAAAGGCGUAGGCGAUGGAUAACAGGUUGAUAUUCCUGUACCACCUCCUCACCAUUUGAGCAAUGGGGGGACGCAGGAGGAUAGGGUAAGCGCGGUAUUGGAUAUCCGCGUCCAAGCAGUUAGGCUGGGAAAUAGGCAAAUCCGUUUCCCGUGAAGGCUGAGCUGUGAUGGCGAGCGAAUUAUAGUAGCGAAGUUCCUGAUUCCACACUGCCAAGAAAAGCCUCUAGCGAGGUGAGAGGUGCCCGUACCGCAAACCGACACAGGUAGGCGAGGAGAGAAUCCUAAGGUGAUCGAGAGAACUCUCGUUAAGGAACUCGGCAAAAUGACCCCGUAACUUCGGGAGAAGGGGUGCUCUGUUAGGGUGCAAGCCCGAGAGAGCCGCAGUGAAUAGGCCCAGGCGACUGUUUAGCAAAAACACAGGUCUCUGCGAAGCCGUAAGGCGAAGUAUAGGGGCUGACGCCUGCCCGGUGCUGGAAGGUUAAGAGGAGCGCUUAGCGUAAGCGAAGGUGCGAAUUGAAGCCCCAGUAAACGGCGGCCGUAACUAUAACGGUCCUAAGGUAGCGAAAUUCCUUGUCGGGUAAGUUCCGACCCGCACGAAAGGCGCAACGAUCUGGCACUGUCUCAACGAGAGACUCGGUGAAAUUAUAGUACCUGUGAAGAUGCAGGUUACCCGCGACAGGACGGAAAGACCCCGUGGAGCUUUACUGCAGCCUGAUAUUGAAUGUUGGUACAGCUUGUACAGGAUAGGUAGGAGCCUUGGAAACCGGAGCGCCAGCUUCGGUGGAGGCAUCGGUGGGAUACUACCCUGGCUGUAUUGACCUUCUAACCCGCCGCCCUUAUCGGGCGGGGAGACAGUGUCAGGUGGGCAGUUUGACUGGGGCGGUCGCCUCCUAAAAGGUAACGGAGGCGCCCAAAGGUUCCCUCAGAAUGGUUGGAAAUCAUUCGCAGAGUGUAAAGGCACAAGGGAGCUUGACUGCGAGACCUACAAGUCGAGCAGGGACGAAAGUCGGGCUUAGUGAUCCGGUGGUUCCGCAUGGAAGGGCCAUCGCUCAACGGAUAAAAGCUACCCCGGGGAUAACAGGCUUAUCUCCCCCAAGAGUCCACAUCGACGGGGAGGUUUGGCACCUCGAUGUCGGCUCAUCGCAUCCUGGGGCUGUAGUCGGUCCCAAGGGUUGGGCUGUUCGCCCAUUAAAGCGGUACGCGAGCUGGGUUCAGAACGUCGUGAGACAGUUCGGUCCCUAUCCGUCGCGGGCGCAGGAAAUUUGAGAGGAGCUGUCCUUAGUACGAGAGGACCGGGAUGGACGCACCGCUGGUGUACCAGUUGUUCUGCCAAGGGCAUCGCUGGGUAGCUAUGUGCGGACGGGAUAAGUGCUGAAAGCAUCUAAGCAUGAAGCCCCCCUCAAGAUGAGAUUUCCCAUUCCGCAAGGAAGUAAGAUCCCUGAAAGAUGAUCAGGUUGAUAGGUCUGAGGUGGAAGUGUGGCGACACAUGGAGCUGACAGAUACUAAUCGAUCGAGGACUUAACCAA